rnacentral:rRNA from 1 species
GACGAACGCUGGCGGCGUGCUUAACACAUGCAAGUCGAACGGAAAGGCCUGCUUUCCCUUGUGGAUUGCGGGUGCUCGAGUGGCGAACGGGUGAGUAACACGUGAGUGAUCUGCCCCCAACUUGGGUAUAAGCCUGGGAAACUGGGUCUAAUUCCCGAUAGGACUGCAGGGUGGUGCCUGUGGUGGAAAACGAUUUUCUAGUGGUUGGGGAUGAGCUCGCGGCCUAUCAGCUUGUUGGUGGGGUAAUGGCCUACCAAGGCGGCGACGGGUAGCCGGCCUGAGAGGGUGGACGGCCACAUUGGGACUGAGAUGCGGCCCAGACGCCUACGGGAGGCAGCAGUGGGGAAUAUUGCACAAUGGGCGGAAGCCUGAUGCAGCGACGCCGCGUGGGGGAUGACGGCCUUCGGGUUGUAAACUCCUUUCGACCGCGAGGAAGCCACCUGGUUGGAAGGGUGGUGACGGUAGUGGUAGAAGAAGCACCGGCUAACUACGUG